UACGAAGGGGGCUAGCGUUGCUCGGAAUUACUGGGCGUAGAGCGCACGUAGGCGGCUUUCUAAGUCGGGGGUGAAAUCCUGGAGCUCAACUCCAGAACUGCCUUCGAUACUGGAGAGCUCGAGUCCGGGAGAGGUGAGUGGAACUGGCGAGUGUAGAGGUGAAAUUCGAUAGAUAUUCGCAAGAACACCAGUGGCGAAGGCGGCUCACUGGCCCGGUACUGACGCUGAGGUGCGAAAGCGUGGGGAGCAAACAGGG
rnacentral:rRNA from 1 species